AGUGGCGAACGGGUGAGUAAUAUAUCGGAACGUGCCCAGUCGUGGGGGAUAACGCAGCGAAAGUUGUGCUAAUACCGCAUACGAUCUACGGAUGAAAGCGGGGGAUCGCAAGACCUCGCGCGAUUGGAGCGGCCGAUAUCAGAUUAGGUUGUUGGUGAGGUAAAAGCUCACCAAGCCUACGAUCUGUAGCUGGUCUGAGAGGACGACCAGCCACACUGGAACUGAGACACGGUCCAGACUCCUACGGGAGGCAGCAGUGGGGAAUUUUGGACAAUGGACGCAAGUCUGAUCCAGCAAUGCCGCGUGCAGGACGAAGGCCUUCGGGUUGUAAACUGCUUUUGUACAGAACGAAAAAGUCUUUAAUAACACUAGAGGCUCAUGACGGUACUGUAAGAAUAAGCACCGGCUAACUACGUGCCAGCAGCCGCGGUAAUACGUAGGGUGCAAACGUUAAUCGGAAUUACUGGGCGUAAAGCGUGCGCAGGCGGUUAUAUAAGACAGAUGUGAAAUCCCCGGGCUCAACCUGGGACCUGCAUUUGUGACUGUAUAGCUAGAGUACGGUAGAGGGGGAUGGAAUUCCGCGUGUAGCAGUGAAAUGCGUAGAUAUGCGGAGGAACACCGAUGGCGAAGGCAAUCCCCUGGACCUGUACUGACGCUCAUGCACGAAAGCGUGGGGAGCAAACAGGAUUAGAUACCCUGGUAGUCCACGCCCUAAACGAUGUCAACUGGU
rnacentral:rRNA from 1 species